rnacentral:rRNA from 1 species
CACGUAGGGGACGAGCGUUGUCCGGAUUCAUUGGGCGUAAAGCGCGCGUAGGCGGCUCGGAAAGUCGGGCGUGAAAUGCCGGGGCUCAACCCCGGGACUGCGUCCGAUACUUCCGAGCUGGAGGUAGGUAGGGGAGAUCGGAAUUCCUGGUGUAGGCGGUGAAAUGCGCAGGAUAUCAGGAGGAACACCGGCUGGCGGAA